CACUGCGGUUAUACGAGAGACUCAAGUUGAAAGACACCGGCGUAAAGCGUGGUUAAAUUAAAAUUUAAACUAAAGUUAAACAUCUUCAAGGCUGUUAUACGCACCCGAAGACAAGAACCUCAAUCACGAAAGUAACUUUAUAUAAACUGAACCCACGAAAGCUAUAACA
rnacentral:rRNA from 1 species